rnacentral:rRNA from 1 species
AGCAGCCGCGGUAAUUCCAGCUCCAAUAGCGUAUAUUAAAGUUGUUGCAGUUAAAAAGCUCGUAGUUGAAUUUCGGGGUUAGUAGGUUGGUCAUGCCUCUGGUAUGUACUGGUCUCACUGAUUCCUCCUUCCUGAUGAGCUGUAAUGCCAUUAAUUUGGUGUUGCAGGGAAUCUGGACUGUUACUUUGAAAAAAUUAGAGUGUUUAAAGCAGGCUAACGCUUGAAUACAUUAGCAUGGAAUAAUGAAAUAGGACGUUCGAUCCUAUUUUGUUGGUUUCUAGGAUUGACGUAAUGAUUAAUAGGGAUAGUUGGGGGCAUUAGUAUUCAAUUGUCAGAGGUGAAAUUCUUGGAUUUAUUGAAGACUAACUACUGCGAAAGCAUUUGCCAAGGAUGUUUUCAUUAAUCAAGAACGAAAGUUAGGGGAUCGAAGACGAUCAGAUACCGUCGUAG